ensembl:misc_RNA Metazoa_SRP Metazoan signal recognition particle RNA
GCUGGGCAUGGUGGUGCACGCCUGUAGUCCCAGCUACUCGGGAGGCUGAGACAGGAGGAUUGCUUGAGUCUAGGAGUUCUUGGGUGUCUCGCACUAAGUUCGGCAUCAAUAUGGUGACCUCCCGGGAGUGGGGGGCCACCAAGUUGCCUAAGGAAGGGUGAACCGGCCCAGGUUGGAAACGGAGCAGGUCAAAAUUUCCGUGCUGAUCAGAGGAAUGCAUGUAGUAACCCAUAAAAGAAUCUUUGGCUUAGAGGCAGGAUU